rnacentral:lncRNA from 1 species
AUUCUGCUCCCCACGCGGUCAAUUCGCUUCUAACGAUUGCCGCACUUUCUCUUUUCUCCCAUCAUCGUCAGCCACAUCAUGAGGUAAUCCCAACUCAUCUAUCUCUAUCUCCAUAUCAAUUUUUAUGUCUAUAUCUUUUUCGCCCACCACGACGAUUCUGGUUUCGACAACUUUUGUUGUUAUUGUUAUAUAUAUGUUUCUUCAAAAUCAAUCAAUCUUAUCUGAAUAUUAUUAAAUAAUUCAUUUAAUUAUUUGGGUUUUUAUAUAUUUUUUUGUCGUUCCUUUUCUUUUUAAUUACUUCUGUUGUUGAAUAUUUGAUGUUUAGAAUGAUAGGCUAUGUCGUUGGGUCAAUUAUGUGGUGUGUAUUCUAGGGUUUAGAUGCAUGUAUUUUGGUAUAUAUUGUUGUAGUUGUUUUAUUACAGAUUGGUGUUGUUGAAGCUAGUGUUCGUGCGGCUAUUUCAAUUUUUACUGCUUCUGAAAGUAAGCUAAUAGUUAAUCAAAUCUUCCCUCUUUCCUCUUAAGUUGCUUUUGGUGUUAUUAAGGAUCUUCAUCGACUAUAGUUAUGAUAUUACAAAAGCAUUGCUCUGUUUUAUCUCUUCUUCAUACAUUUUAUGUCACCGUAAGAAUUAAGAUGGAUGCUAACAUUCUUGACAUUGAUAAGUGGUAAUGUAGCCAUGACAUGCGUUACUUAUUUAAUUUUGGAUUUUAAAUGAGUUGCGGAAAAGUAUAAGACAAGUUAUCAUUCUUUUGAGAUUGUGACACUUUUUCUUCCUCAUGUUUAGGUUUAGAUUUAGGUUUGCGAUGAUGAUCACUUAUCCUAUGUUUAGUAGAAGUUUUAUGAGAUCUUUGUUGCUUUGGGCAAUUUCUUCUAACUGAUGUCCUCCAUUUUUGCACCAGAUGAUGCAAUAGCUUACACAGAACUGAGUUGCAAUAGUUUGUCAUGUUCCUGGUAAAGUUCUUAGCUUUGAAUUCCUUAAUCUAUCGAAGUACCAUUAUUAUAAUAAUUCUUGCUUGUUACAAUCCAUAAGACUAGAAAUAAUGGAGUUGAAAAAAAAUAUACAGGGCACUUUUACUUUUUUCCUUUCUUAUAUUGUUAUAAUUCUUUCUUAUGUGAAAUUUUUAUGCAGCUUUUGAAGGAUGUCAGUUCAAUUACUGGCAAGGGAAUGCUUGAGUUGUGAAAAGAUGGAUCCACGUUGUCGCUGUAUUUAUUGUACAAGUUAAAGGAAUUAGUUUGAGUUAUGAGCGAUCUUAGUGCAAUUGUAUGUUGGCAUCUUUUAAAUUGUUCAAAUUUGUACCAAGUACAACUACUCGAUCAGU